UCUGCGAGCCGCUAGAAAUGCCGUCAACCAGCAACAGCCAUCCAAGGCCCCCUUCUAGUGCCCCACCCGCCUCAUCUCUCGACCCGCCUUCAGGCGUGCAAGCUAACUUUCAGAAACAUGGUCCGCCAAGCAAGACUCCAUCUCCGAUCCGCAUCUACGCAGCCUAGCCGCUGAUGUUCUUCCAUCCCUACUCAUGUCUGCCAAAGCUUCAUCUACCACAUCAAAAUACAAAUCCCGUUGGGACAAAUGGGUCCAGUGGGCGAGCUCCAAAUCUCUACCCACAUUUCCAGUCCAAGCGUACCACCUCUGUCUAUACCUUUCCCACCUGUCUUCCGUUAGCGGAGCCAAGACUCUAGCAGAUAACAGUCUCGCAGGCCUUCCUUCACCCACAGAUGACCCGAUGGUAAAAACAGCAGUGCAGGGGUAUAACCGGACUCACUCUUCCCCUGUUUGUCGUAAGGAGCCUGUUACACCAGAAAUCCUGUCCCAUCUUCGCGCAUCACACGGUCAGCUCAAUGCAUCUUUAGCUGAUCUACGCAUUUUGUUUAUAUGCUUCAUUUCUUAUGCUGGAUUCCUACGCUUCGACGACCUUAGCAGGAUAAGAAGGAAGGACUGCACUCUUCAUCAUGACAGGCUAGUCCUACACUUACCCUCUUCUAAAACCGAUCAAUUCCGCCAAGGCAGAGAUGUUACCAUUGCUAGGACAUCCAACCCGACCUGUCCCGUCAUUAUAGCCGAGCGAUAUUUCGCAGCUUUAGGCGAUCCUCCUCAUUCUCACCUACCAGUGAUUCGCAGGCUUGCUCGUUCCAAACGCGGUCUAGUCGCCACUUCUCACGGCCUAAGUUACACCAGAACUCGCGAGAUUGUCCUGGAGGCGUUGAAGCCCUUUGUUCCCGACGUCUCUAAGUUCGGUUUGCACAGUCUCCGGUCGGGUGGAGCUUCAUCCGCUAGUAACAAUCGAGUUUCUCCCUUUCUGAUUUCACAACAUGGCCGUUGGAAGUCAGACAAAGCCAGGGACACAUACAUAAAAUCGGACGCAACGUCAAAUCUUCUUCCUUCACAAUCCCUCGGGAUUUAAGCUUCAAAUCCCAAUCCGUUAUCAUUGUUGUCGAGUUAAUUUUCUUGGCUGUGUUUUUGCUUAUGCAUACUUUGCAAUGUUCGUAUCAUUCUGAACAAAUAUGAGUCUAUUGAAUAAACAGCGAGCUAAUAAUCAUUGCCCAGCUCUGACCAAACAUGUUCAAUCUUUUGUCAUUGUUGUUAUUUUUCAGUAUUUGUCACCUGAGGUAGAU